rnacentral:tRNA from 2 species
CGGGGCAUAGCGCAGUCUGGUAGCGCAUCUGCUUUGGGAGCAGAGGGUCGGGAGUUCGAAUCUCUCUGCCCCGACCA